GACGAACGCUGGCGGCGUGCUUAACACAUGCAAGUCGAACGGAAAGGCCCUGCUUUUGUGGGGUGCUCGAGUGGCGAACGGGUGAGUAACACGUGAGUAACCUGCCCUUGACUUUGGGAUAACUUCAGGAAACUGGGGCUAAUACCGGAUAGGAGCUCCUGCUGCAUGGUGGGGGUUGGAAAGUUUCGGCGGUUGGGGAUGGACUCGCGGCUUAUCAGCUUGUUGGUGGGGUAGUGGCUUACCAAGGCUUUGACGGGUAGCCGGCCUGAGAGGGUGACCGGCCACAUUGGGCCUGAGAUACGGCCCAGACUCCUACGGGAGGCAGCAGUGGGGAAUAUUGCACUAUGGGCGGAAGCCUGAUGCAGCAACGCCGCGUGCGGGAUGACGGCCUUCGGGUUGUAAACCGCUUUCGCCUGUGACGAAGCGUGAGUGACGGUAAUGGGUAAAGAAGCACCGGCUAACUACGUG
rnacentral:rRNA from 1 species